CCUACGGGUGGCAGCAGUGGGGAAUUUUGGACAAUGGGCGCAAGCCUGAUCCAGCUAUUCCGCGUGUGGGAUGACGGCCCUCGGGUUGUAAACCACUUUAGUAGAGAACGAAAAGGAGCUAUCGCAUAAAUAGCUCUUCUUACGGUACUCUAAGAAUAAGCACCGGCUAACUACGUCCCAGCGGCCGAGGUAAUACGUCGGGUGCGAGCGUUAAUCGGAAUUUCUGGGCGUAAAUGGUGUGCAGGCGGCUGAGUAAGACAGAUGUGAAAUCCCCGGGCUUAACCUUGGAACCGCAUAUGGUACUGGUUGGCUAGAGUGCGUCAGAGGGAGGUGGAAUUCCAGGUGUAGCAGUGAAAUGCGUAGAUAUGUGGAAGAACACCGAUGGCGAAGGCAGCCUCCUGGGACGCAACUGACGCUCAUACACGAAAGCGUGGGGAGCAAACAGGAUUAGAUACCCUAGUAGUC
rnacentral:rRNA from 1 species